UUCGCACAUCCUGUUCUUUGCGAUUUGAGCGUGGUGCACCGUAGGCCUUGUUUUUGUUGAACUUAUGGGACACCAGUAAAUCGUGGCUCGCGUUUGCUGUGAGGCGUCUUUCUAGUUUCAGGUCUCCGUGUGUCAGGCGUCCUGGCUCGUAGGGUGAUCAAGGCGCUCUUAUUGUAAUGUACCGUUGCGGAAGGUGUGCUUGUGUUUUUAACACUUUGAUGGACUACGUUGACCACUGUAGACAUGUACAUGAAGCGAGCAGAAUACCGUGCUGUCAUGCAUUAUGUGUGUACAGGGCGGCGAACUAUGCAAUACUCAAAUGUCACAUUUUGAGACGUUACAAGAACACACCAGGACGGUCGCCUCGAAUCGAUUUGCUCUCCGAAACCACGAAACGUUUUGAUACCAGAGCUGACUGAUGGGUGCACAUGGUGCCUUCCUAUGUUCUUUCUUUGAAAUAAUAAAUGUGUUUUGAUGCCAGAGCUGACUGAUGGGUGCACAUGGUUGCUUCUUAUGUUCUUCCUUUGAAAAAAUAAACCGUGAACUGCAUGUCAAUUGCCCUGCUCCCUGUAACAGUUUCUUUUCUCUUUGCAGUGUUUUGAUGCCAGAGCUGACUGAUGGGUGCACAUGGUUCCUUUGUAUGUUCUUCCUUUGAAAAAAUAAACAGGUUUUGAUGCCAGAGAUGAUUGGCGCAUUUUCAUCACUAUGUACAUAGAAAAUAAAUCCCAAUGUGAC